rnacentral:lncRNA from 1 species
UGAUACUUACAGGGGCUUCCUCAGGCUUGAGGGGAAUAGAGUGAUCAUGGUCCCUCUUUGGUGGCAAGGACUUUGGCUGUGAAAACACCUUGGGAAAGUCCUGGAGUACUGAUCUGAUCUCUUCAGGUAAUUCUGCUGCCCCUUCUACUUCCUUUGCUGAAAUUGAAAACAAGUGUGCCCACAACACAUGCCCUUUCUUCAACAACUGCUUAACCCCAGAAGCAGUCAUGGCCUGUAGCUGCCCUUCUUCAGCACAUCCCUUCAAUUCCACUCUUUUC